AAAAACCUUUCCACAGACCAGUGAAGCAAGAUGCUCUGGUCUGGCCAUGACAGAAGUGUUCUACUUUCCUCCAUUUGGGCCACUCCGCUGGUUUGAACUAAGCUUAAAGGUGAGAAGACAUACCAACCAACAGAGAUUGAGUGAUUCUUCCUAUAACACACAAAUAACUAGUGACCUGUGUGCCUGACUUUCUAGAUAUUCAGGCAAGAUGUUUUGUUUUUAAUAAUUACAGCUAUAGAUUUACCUGCCUAGAAGUUUGUUUGUGUGUAUGUUUUUCCCCCACAAAACCAGAAUCUCCC
rnacentral:lncRNA from 1 species